rnacentral:sRNA from 1 species
UCUCCAUAUAUUUUUACAUGGGAAUAAUAUUACCGUAGUUACAUU